GACGAACGCUGGCGGCGUGCUUAACACAUGCAAGUCGAACGGUAAGGCCCUUCGGGGUACACGAGUGGCGAACGGGUGAGUAACACGUGGGUGAUCUGCCCUGCACUUCGGGAUAAGCCUGGGAAACUGGGUCUAAUACCGGAUAGGACCACUGCCUGCAUGGGUGGUGGUGGAAAGCUUUUGCGGUGUGGGAUGGGCCCGCGGCCUAUCAGCUUGUUGGUGGGGUGAUGGCCUACCAAGGCGACGACGGGUAGCCGGCCGGAGAGGGUGACCGGCCACACUGGGACUGAGAUACGGCCAAGACUCCUACGGGAGGAAGCAGUGGGGAUUAUUGCACAAUGGGCGCAAGCCUGAUGCAGCGACGCCGCGUGAGGGAUGACGGCCUUCGGGUUGUAAACCUCUUUCAGCUAUGACGAAGCGCAAGUGACGGUAGUAGCAGAAGAAGGACCGGCCAACUACGUGCCAGCCGCCGCGGUAA
rnacentral:rRNA from 1 species